rnacentral:misc_RNA from 1 species
GUAGGUGAACCUGCGGAAGGAUCAUUACAGAAUCGUCAACGGGUUGUUGCUGGUCCUCAAACGGGGACAUGUGCACGCUCUGUUUACACAUCCACUCACACCUGUGCACCCUCCGUAGUUCUGUGGUCUGGGGGACCCUGUCUUCCUGCCGUGGUUCUACGUCUUUACACACACACUGUAAUAAAGUCUUAUGGAAUGUAUGCCGCGUCUAACGCAAUACAAUACAACUUUCAGCAACGGAUCUCUUGGC